GGUGAAAAGCACCCCGGAAGGGGAGUGAAAUAGAACCUGAAACCGUGUGCUUACAAGUAGUCAGAGCCCGUUAAUGGGUGAUGGCGUGCCUUUUGUAGAAUGAACCGGCGAGUUACGAUUUGAUGCAAGGUUAAGCAGUAAAUGUGGAGCCGUAGCGAAAGCGAGUCUGAAUAGGGCGUUUAGUAUUUGGUCGUAGACCCGAAACCAGGUGAUCUACCCUUGGUCAGGUUGAAGUUCAGGUAACACUGAAUGGAGGACCGAACCGACUUACGUUGAAAAGUGAGCGGAUGAACUGAGGGUAGCGGAGAAAUUCCAAUCGAACCUGGAGAUAGCUGGUUCUCUCCGAAAUAGCUUUAGGGCUAGCCUCAAGUGAUGAUUAUUGGAGGUAGAGCACUGUUUGGACGAGGGGCCCCUCUCGGGUUACCGAAUUCAGACAAACUCCGAAUGCCAAUUAAUUUAACUUGGGAGUCAGAACAUGGGUGAUAAGGUCCGUGUUCGAAAGGGAAACAGCCCAGACCACCAGCUAAGGUCCCAAAAUAUAUGUUAAGUGGAAAAGGAUGUGGCGUUGCCCAGACAACUAGGAUGUUGGCUUAGAAGCAGCCAUCAUUUAAAGAGUGCGUAAUAGCUCACUAGUCGAGUGACACUGCGCCGAAAAUGUACCGGGGCUAAACAUAUUACCGAAGCUGUGGAUUGUCCUUUGGACAAUGGUAGGAGAGCGUUCUAAGGGCGUUGAAGCAUGAUCGUAAGGACAUGUGGAGCGCUUAGAAGUGAGAAUGCCGGUGUGAGUAGCGAAAGACGGGUGAGAAUCCCGUCCACCGAUUGACUAAGGUUUCCAGAGGAAGGCUCGUCCGCUCUGGGUUAGUCGGGUCCUAAGCUGAGGCCGACAGGCGUAGGCGAUGGAUAACAGGUUGAUAUUCCUGUACCACCUAUAAUCGUUUUAAUCGAUGGGGGGACGCAGUAGGAUAGGCGAAGCGUGCGAUUGGAUUGCACGUCUAAGCAGUAAGGCUGAGUAUUAGGCAAAUCCGGUACUCAUUAAGGCUGAGCUGUGAUGGGGAGAAGACAUUGUGUCUUCGAGUCGUUGAUUUCACACUGCCGAG
rnacentral:rRNA from 1 species